CAAUGCCUGCCAAGAACGUAAUCUCGAAAUGGCUGCGGGCGAAACAAGGCAAACAUAAACACUCACCAUGGCGCUAGUGAGCAAGUAACUAUCGGAAAAAUAUGAACGCGACCGACCCGGAUGUACUAGUGGCAAGAGGCCAACUGGACGUCCUGUACCGGGGGGCCGAGUACGCACUGGAGAGCGGUCGAGCACUCGAGGGCACCCUCGACUUCAACCUCACCUUCGAUAACACCACUGUGUACAACGUAUCCACUGACCCGGAGGAACCUUGGAACGAGUAUAUUAAACUACUUUAUGACAGAGCACUGCUCGUCUCCUUUCUUCUCCUGUUCUCUCUUACUACUGUCUUCGGCAACAUGCUCGUGAUCUUGGCCGUAGUGCGCGAGCGCUAUCUCCAUACUUCUACUAACUACUUCGUGACGUCACUAGCGGUAGCGGACUGCCUCGUGGGGUUGGUGGUGAUGCCAUUCUCUGCAUUAUAUGAAGUGUUAGAACACACGUGGUUCUUCGGUGUGGACUGGUGUGAUGUGUGGCGGUCCUUAGAUGUGUUGUUUAGUACGGCCUCCAUUUUAAAUCUUUGCGUGAUCUCAUUAGACCGGUACUGGGCCAUUACGGACCCUAUUACAUAUCCUAUGCGUAUGAGUGGACGGAAAGCCGCAUUUCUUAUCGCGGCCGUGUGGGUGUGUUCUGGUGCGAUAUCGUUUCCUGCCAUCGCGUGGUGGCGCGCCGUGCGUGUUGAGGAAGUGCCAGACUAUAAGUGUCCGUUCACGGAAAACUUGGAGUAUAUAAUAUUUUCAUCGACAAUAUCAUUUUAUUUACCUCUGUUUGUGAUGGUGUUCACUUAUUAUCGUAUAUAUCGUGCAGCGACUAUUCAGACGCGGUCCCUUAAAAUUGGCACUAAGCAAGUGAUGAGACCUAGUGGUGAAUUAGAGUUGACGUUACGUAUACAUAGAGGAGGCACUGUGCGGCAGCGAAGUGACGCGUGUCACGGAGUGUGUACGCCGGAGGAGGCUGACCAGGAGCCUCUGACGGCGCUACAGAACAAUGGUUUGUCGCGUUCCUCGACACGACUCACCAAUGUGACGCAUGGAAAACAUUUGCCAAAAAACUUUUCGCUGUCUCGUAAGUUAGCGAAGUUUGCCAAAGAGAAAAAGGCGGCUAAGACGUUAGGUAUAGUGAUGGGUGUGUUCAUAGUGUGUUGGUUGCCGUUCUUUGUGGUGAACUUGCUGUCGGGGAUCUGCUCCGCGUGCAUAGCGCACGAGGAGAUCGUGAACGUGGUGGUCACGUGGCUCGGCUGGGUCAACUCUUCCAUGAACCCUGUCAUCUACGCGUGCUGGAGCAGAGACUUUAGAAGGGCAUUCCUUAGAAUUCUGUGCGUGUGCUGCCCAAGGAAGUUGCGACGGAAAUAUCAGCCGCAGCUACGAUUCAAACAAUCCCAAUUGCGCACGACUCGACGUUAUUACUCAUCGAGCGAACUGAUGGGCAUACAACAGCUCAGACAAAACUCCUGCGAGCAAACUUACAUAUAGCGAAUCAGCUCCAUUUUAUACACCGCUUCGAUUCUCCUCCAUACUUCCAAGUGCCUUGAUGAAAAUAUUCAAUUCGUAUUUUCCAAAAGUUUCUAGAAUACUUUAUGCGAAUUAGGAGCCAUUCAGAGCCGUGUGCGAAGGAGUGUAAUCUCGGCCGGUGAUAUUAUGUAGACGUUGCUAGUGACGGUUCGUUCGGUCCAGUUCUAGAGAUAGGACCAAGUAGAGUACCCGGUGUCGACGAUGAUGUACUCGUCGGUGUCGCAGCACGAGAUGUGUCGGUUGUGACAUCAGGCGCGCGCGGGCACGUUCCGCGCGCC